GAUGAACGCUGGCGGCGUGCCUAACACAUGCAAGUCGAACGGAGAUUACGGACGGAAGUUUUCGGAUGGAAGCCUGUAAUUCUUAGUGGCGGACGGGUGAGUAACGCGUGGGCAACCUGCCCUAUACAGGGGGAUAGCAGCUGGAAACGGCUGGUAAGACCGCAUAAGUCGGUUAAAUCGCAUGAUUUGAUCGGGAAAUGAGCAAUCAGGUAUAGGAUGGGCCCGCGUCCGAUUAGCCAGUUGGCAGGGUAAAAGCCUACCAAAGCGACGAUCGGUAGCCGGACUGAGAGGUCGGACGGCCACAUUGGGACUGAGACACGGCCCAAACUCCUACGGGAGGCAGCAGUGGGGGAUAUUGCACAAUGGAGGAAACUCUGAUGCAGCGACGCCGCGUGAGUGAAGAAGUAUUUCGGUAUGUAAAGCUCUAUCAGCAGGGAAGAUGAUGACGGUACCUGACUAAGAAGCCCCGGCUAACUACGUGC
rnacentral:rRNA from 1 species